UGUCUAUCCUGAAACUCCUGAGACCAGAUCGAUGACAUAAAGACCACUAAACUGGAGUAUUAUAGAAGUCCCUGCAUCUUACUCUUUCCCAGAGUAAUGAAGAACUUGACUAGCUUGGAUUAGAUAAGACUGAUUCUUGGAAGCACUUGCUGACAGUCCCCGGAGAGGCUCUGCCAU